GGACAACAUCUGAACAUGACAGAGUUACUUACGGGUAUUCUUGGGUAAAUAACAUACCAUUUCGAUGUUAUUGCUUGAGAAUACACGUAGUCAACAAUGUCAGGCACCAACAGCAAAAAG
rnacentral:pre_miRNA from 10 species